rnacentral:tRNA from 1 species
GGUGGUCUAGUCGUUAAGAUUCAGCACUCUCACUGCUGUGGCCUGGGUUCAUGUCCCUGAGCCA